rnacentral:lncRNA from 1 species
CCCGCCGACGUCCAAGCUGUCGUUCUUCCUCGCCGCCACGCCGCCGUCCUGCCCGCUCCUCGGCGCGACCUUCCCGGUCCUCGUCCGCGCGCUCGCCAGACACUCCCCUCCCCUCCUCGACGCGCUCCUCCCGUUCGCGCGCUCCCCCUCGCCUCGUCGCCCUCCGAGCUCCUCCCCGCUCUGCUCUCCGCGCUCCUGUCCGCUUCCCGCGUCGACGCCGCGCUCGCCCUC